rnacentral:tRNA from 1 species
GGAUAUAGCUCAAAGGUAUAGCACCUGCCUGGCAAACACGAGGUUCUGAGUUCAAUUCUCUGUGCCA